UAAGCCCUUUUUUAUUUUUGUUUUGUGGGGAGAGUUUAUCAAGUCUUAUGAAGCUGGCAAUGCAAAGAAAUCUGAUUAGAGGAGCCAAGGCAAGUAGGAGCGGUCUGCAAAUUUCUCAUCUACUGUUUGCUGACGCCUGCAUUUUAUUUGGGGAAGCUACUGAAAGAGGCGCAGGUUCAUUAAAGCAGAUUUUACAUGAAUAUGAAAAGUGCUCAGGGCAAAAUAUCAAUUAUUCAAAAUCUACUAUUUUUUUCAGCACGAAUACGCAGGAGGAGAUCAAAAGAGUAGUAACUAGAGUGCUAGAAGUACGCAGUUCAACUGAUCUGAAAAGGUAUCUAGGUCUACCUAAUUUAGUGGGUAGAAAUAAAAAAGCGUCUUUUCAAAAUUUGAAAGAUAGACUACAGAAACGGAUUGAUAAUUGGAGCAUAAAGCAUCUUUCUCAAGGUGGCAAAGAAGUUUUUAUCAAAACGGUUCUACAAUCUAUUCCUACUUACUCAAUGGCAUGUUUAUUGCUUCCUAAGUCGUUAUGUGCCGAUUUGGAGGGCAUAUAAUUGCGAAAUUUUAGUGGAGGAAAAAUAAAGACAAAGGGUAUACACUGGUGUACAUUGAAGGCUUUGUGUUCGUUAAAAGAAUAUGGAGGUCUCGGUUUCAGAAAACUUGAUAAGUUUAAUAUCGCAUUACUAGCUAAACAGUGUUGGCGUCUUGUUAAUUAUCCCAAUUCUUUGUUAGCUUGUGUUUUGAAAGCUAAAUAUUAUGGGCAGUCAAGUUUUUUAAAAGCUCAUUUAGGAAACUCACUUUCACUUACCUGGAAGAGCAUCUGGUCAGCUAAAGGAUUGUUGGAAAAGGGCUUAUGUUGGAGAGUUAGCAAGGGGGAUAGUAUCUCGGUUUGGUCAGAUCUCUGGGUACCGGGUAGCAAUGAAGAUAGAAUACAAAAUGUAAACAACAUUGAAAAUAUAGUGUUAGUUUCGGACUUAAUUGAUGAUGAAAAUAGAAGAUGGAAGACUGAAUUAAUUGCCAAUACCUUCCAAGAGAAUAUUGUUAGAAGGAUUAUGCGGAUCCCCUUGGCAAAGUCAGCCCACGACGAUUUUCAAGUUUGGAGGGGAGAACCAUCAGGUAACUUCUCAGUGAGAAGUGCCUAUAAAUUAUUACAGGAGUCUACUCUUAAUCCUAGUAAUCAUAUACAGGCCGAUACUAAAGCUUUUUACAAAAAAACUAUGGACCAUGAACAUGCCAUCGAAAAUAAAAAUUACAAUGUGAAAGAUUUAUUGGGAUUUUAUUCCCAAUUUUUUGAAUCUCAAGCUGAAAAGAGUUGCUGUUGAAGAUCUAUGUUCGAGGUGUCAGCCAAGUGGGGAGAACAUCAGCCACAUUUUUCGACAGUGCCCUACAUCGAUAGAAGUAUGGAGAUGUUUAAAUUCUAUAUGGAUACUCAAUAAUGAUUCUCAAAAUGUAUGGGAGUGGCUUACUUGGGUGUUUAGUCAAGGUACAAAGGAGCAAUGUCGGCUCUUCUGCUGUUGGUUGUGGUUAAUCUAGACAAACCGUAACAAGUUAAUAUAUGAAAGGAAAAUCACAACAAGCAGAGACAUAUCAAAGCAAAUCUUCAGUUUUAUCUCAGAGUUGAAGAGAGUAGAGGAAAAAGAGCUUAUCUUGGAAGAAGGCAGGAGACCCGAAUGUCAUGACCAAAGGACGUCCGUGGCUAUUUACUUUGAUGCGGCUUUUGAUCAACAAUCUUUCCGUUCGGCAUCAGGGCUAGUAGUACGAGAUGUGGUGGGCAACAUUCUGGCAUCCAAGUCGGUGCUUCAUUCCGAUGUGGCGUCUCCGUGAUUACAACAAAGUUAAGGAUCGACUUGGGUUUACAGGUUCUAGAAAUAGUAAUAGAUUCAAGAUUGGUGAUUAUAAAAUGUCAGAGUGCAGAACAAGACUGAUCGAUGAUCGGGGCAAUCAUAAGAGAUAUUCAGAGUACGAAAAACCAUUUUCAAGAUCUUCGAUUUCGUUUUAUUCCAAAGACAGGAAACUAUUUUGCCCAUUUCAUAGCCAAUGAAGCAUUAAAAAGGGGUGAAGGUCAAUACUUGGAAGGAGACAUCCCAAGUUCCGUGCGGAUCGCAAUGGAGAAGGAGCGUCUGAGAAUCGCAAAGUGAAAGGCUUGUAGCGUCUAUGUAUAAGGAUUUUUCAAAAGAAAAUGCUGAAGAGUCGCCUCUCUGAUAGUGUAGCAGAAAAGUAAAAGAUCGGAAAUGAUUUGCUACAGAGUAACAGCUAGGUCGGUGAUGUGAAUAGGCUCUGUUGGUUACAAGAAUCGAUAGAAAGUAAUGGUUACCAGCUGUUUCUGACGACUGGUUUUUGAGUUAAGUGUCAUUUUUUGCUUUUAUUUAAUUUAUUAUUAAGUCUGGUUUUGGGCCGUUCUAAUUAAGGCCUGGUUCUUUUAUUUUCUUUUUAGGAUUGUAGUGUUGGUGUCAAUCAAACUCAGCAGACAGAUUUUUGUAUUCUAUUUUUAUUUUUUUUAAUCCAGUCGAGCCAUUCAAAAAAAAAGAUUAAAAAAAUUAUAAAUAUUUUUUAAAAAAAAUACCUUCACUUAUGUUGGUUUUUUGAAUUUUUUAGAUGUUAAUUAUUU
rnacentral:lncRNA from 1 species